CUAAUAUUCAAAUUGAAAAGGGCUUUCUGCAAAUAUCUGUCUUCACCAUUCUAUGUAAUUUUCAGUUUCCUGUUUUCAACUCUAAUUUUAGAUAUGAAUAGCGCGAUGACAUCAACAAUUUUUUCAAUGAAUGGCCAGACUUUGCCUUAGACGGAGAUAGGUGGAAAAAACAAGGGGAAGAGUUUUACCCAGCAGUGGGACACGUCAUCUAAAGCGUGCGGCAACUAAUUGCCGGCCAGCCGAGCGGACAAGACCGAGUGCGAUUGGCAGCUACGUACGCGUGACAGCAGAUAUUACUCGAUCAAUAUAGCCUGUUGUACUCUUCGUACAUAGAUAUAAUGGUCUACAGUAGAAUUAUAACUAUCAGAUUAAAAAUCCAUCGGGCAGGCAUAACAGAAACAUAAA